UGAAAUUAAAGUAGUUUUUAUAUAAUUAUGUAGAGUAAAAGUAAUCGAUGUAAUAUUUUUUUUUUGCAGUGCCCUCGUCAAAUUAAUGUUAUUGACUGUGGAUAUUUUGUAAUGCGAUAUAUGAAAGAGGUCAUCAUGGAAAAUGAAAAUAUGAUCCCCAUAAAUUACUUUCCUGACCACAAAUGCCGCACCUACUCUAAAGAUAAAUUAACUAAUGUCAAGGAGGAUUGAGCUACCUAUGUGGUGGAUGAUGUUUUUGGAAACCAAGAAGCUGUUAUUCUUCCUAACUAGGUCAUUGUGUAUAUGAUUCAUAUUGAAUUAGAAAGUUGAAACUGUUGGGGUUAAUUUGCGGCUUUGGAAGAUGGACAAUUUGGAUUUUUUUGGUUCAGCUGUUGUUGCGUGCAGGUUGGAAAGUGCAAUUGGUUGAAUGAAGCUGUUAUUAGUUGUUGCUGUUGUUUUGUCCUUGUUUUUUAAUUUAGGUGGUAAUUCUUUAGUUAAGGAAAUAUGAGUAGAAUAUUUGUUUGAAAUAUUGUUUUUAGCAUUGUGGUUUUAUCCACAAUUUUGACUAUGUAAUGCCCUCUUUGUUAUGAUAUUUGUAGACAAGAUUUUUCGAUUAAUGCAGAUUGAUUGAUCAUAUUGCAUA